CAGCAGCCGCGGUAAUACAGAGGGUGCGAGCGUUAAUCGGAUUUACUGGGCGUAAAGCGUGCGUAGGCGGCUUCUUAAGUCGGAUGUGAAAUCCCUGAGCUUAACUUAGGAAUUGCAUUCGAUACUGGGAAGCUAGAGUAUAAGAGAGGAUGGUAGAAUUCCAGGUGUAGCGGUGAAAUGCGUAGAGAUCUGGAGGAAUACCGAUGGCGAAGGCAGCCAUCUGGCCUAAUACUGACGCUGAGGUACGAAAGCAUGGGGAGCAAACAGGAUUAGAUACCCCCGUAGUCCCUGUCUCUUAUAC
rnacentral:rRNA from 1 species